rnacentral:rRNA from 1 species
AUUGAACGCUGGCGGCAGGCCUAACACAUGCAAGUCGAGCGGCAGCGGGAAAGUAGCUUGCUACUUUUGCCGGCGAGCGGCGGACGGGUGAGUAAUGCCUGGGGAUCUGCCCAGUCGAGGGGGAUAAUAGUUGGAAACGACUGCUAAUACCGCAUACGCCCUACGGGGGAAAGGAGGGGACCUUCGGGCCUUUCGCGAUUGGAUGAACCCAGGUGGGAUUAGCUAGUUGGUGGGGUAAUGGCUCACCAAGGCGACGAUCCCUAGCUGGUCUGAGAGGAUGAUCAGCCACACUGGAACUGAGACACGGUCCAGACUCCUACGGGAGGCAGCAGUGGGAAUAUUGCACAAUGGGGGAAACCCUGAUGCGGCCAUGCCGCGUGUGUGAAGAAGGCCUUCGGGUUGUAAAGCACUUUCAGCGAGGAGGAAAGGUUGGUAGCUAAUAACUGCCAGCUGUGACGUUACUCGCAGAAGAAGCACCGGCUAACUCCGUGCCAGCCGCCGCCGUAA